GCUGAUUUCAUACUUAAAAGCCGGCUGCUCAUCUGAUGACCAGUGCUCUGAGCAACAAAUCCAGGAUUGCCUGAUCCAUCAUUAGCCUUCCAUCUAAUAAUGGCACGGUGAAAUUCUGGUCGGAUUGGAUCUGCUUUUAUGGGCUGGAGAAGACGAGCCUGCAAUCUCGGAAGAUGAGGAUUUGCCCAUCCAGAAAGAUGGCGGAUGGCAGGGACUACAAAGAGAUGGAAACAAACAAGACAGCUCACUGGAUUUCCAGGCAAUCCAAAUGCAAGAAUUUUUUCUGACAUAGAAUUCUCUACUGGUUUUGAAUUUAUUUCUGCAAAUGUCAAAGGUUUCCCUGGUUUCAUGAGAACCUUGUUGAAAUGUACCAUCCCUCUCCUUUCAAGCAAUGGUUUGACAAAAUCCUUGUCCCCCAUGGAAACACCCCCUGAAGUUAGAAGAAUAUGAAUACCAGCAGAAAAGGCUUUGUCCAUUGUCCUAUCAAGAUCUUCUUUAUCAUCUCUAGCAAUUCCAAGAUCAAGAACCUUGCAUUGUUGCUGUAUUGCAGCUGCAAGUAACAUAGCACGAUUGGAGUCCCUAAUCUGGCCACGACUUAGACAAGCAGUUGUCGGUUCCACAAGUUCAUCUCCUGAGGAAAGCACAGCAAUUGUUGGUGUAGGAUAUACCUUCACUGUCAGAACACCAACAGUAGCAAGCAGGCCAAUUUCUGAAGCGCCUAAUCUUUCUCCAGAUUUUAAUACUAUGGCAUACUUCUCAAUGUCACAUCCCACAGGACGAAUAUCAACACCUUUGCUAGUCUUCACCAAUAUUCUUACUCGUUUUGAUUCAACUGAACCAUCAUCAACUACUUCAGUAUCCUCAACCUGAACAACUGCAUCAGCACCAUCGGGUAUCGGUCCUCCAGUCGUUACAUAAGCAACAGUCCCAGGAGUGACAGUCACACCAAGCCCAUCAUUCCCAGCUCUUGAUUCAGUAAUUAUCGGAUAUUCACCAGGCCCAUCUGAAGCAACUACUGCAUAACCAUCCUUGAUUGAAGCUGGGUAUGGAGGCAAAGGGUCAGGCGCACGAAUAUCCUCGGCCAGGACCUUACCCAAAGCAUCGUGGAGUGGCACCAUUAUUGGUGGUAGCCGCUGAGCCACCGAGAGAACCGUCGCUAGAGCCUCCUCCACUGAUAUCAUCGUGGGUUUUGUGGUGGCAUAGGUUGGUGUUUGCUUUCCGUUUAGCCCCAUUUUGGAGAAUAAUAAAGCUAAGACGAUAGAGAGAGAGAGUUGGACUCUGGAGUUUGGACUCCGCCGGCUGAGAAGAUGGUAAGACCCUUUGAUUCGUCUUGAAGUUCCAAAAU
rnacentral:misc_RNA from 1 species